GCUGUUGCUUGCAAACCCUAGGCCUGGUUCCUGGACUUGGUCGGCCUCCUCGGGGGAUGUAGCUGCGCUCCGGUGUCGACUCCUCGACCAAUGACGCUCCAUCCCAACCCCACCAAUCUUCACCGCUGCUUGACGACAUGGAGCUGAACACCGCUGCAACCAUGGUGGCGCCCCCUCUAACCAAGGGAUUGCGACGCCAGCAAAGCAAAGGAAGAUCCGCAACAAAACUCUGCAAGGUUAAUUCACUGAUCUGUACUUCAAACUUGAUUGUUGAAUUGUACUAAAUUCCAUACUCGGUCUUCCGGUGGCCUCCCUGGUGUGUUUCUCCCCGCAUCAUAUUCCUCCAGCUACUAACCCUGUUUCCAGCAAGCUCUGUUGCCGUCAGAAUGAGUCAAUGAGGUUUGUUAAUUUGCAGGGAUGUGACAUCUAAAUAUGUAUUCUUGCCAUCGCAGCAAAAAAAUUGAGAUAUCUCAUAUAUUGGCAAAGCUAAUGCCUGAGAGGGAGCUACCAAACAAGCAUGCUUUAUAUUUGGGACGUGCAGGCUGGAAGGAUCAUUGGUAAUUGAUCCUAUCAAAGGAAGGUGUGAUCUCCAGCCUGAAGGAAUGGCUGGUUGAUUCAGCUAUAGGAAGCAAUCAUGUUCUGCAAUUGAUUGCUGGAAUCGUAUUUAUGCAAGAGCAAGACUACACACGAGGCUGUCAAGCACACACACACACAACGGAAGAACUCUGGACAUUUCAUCAUCUUCUGACACUGGAAGAGGAUGCACUAAGUUAUAAAGUAAUAAAGUAAAACAUGGAUUUCACUUACUUGAGAGAAGAUCUGGCCAUCACAUUGACACUGCUACGUACCAGACUAAAGUUCAACAAAUGAUCAUUCAUCAUCUUCUGAUCAUGGUCUUUGCCGUUUAUGAUGCCAAUUUUGGAGAUACCGUUUGUUCAACUACAUACUA